rnacentral:rRNA from 1 species
GUACACGCUGUGACUAGCAUAUCAAUAAGCGGAGGAAAAGAAACUAACAAGGAUUCCCCUAGUAACGGCGAGUGAAGCGGGAAGAGCUCAAAUUUGAAAUCUUAAAGGGUUUCCCUUUACGAAUUGUAGUUUAAAGAAGUGUUUUCUGUUGAGGUUUUGGUAAAAGUUCUUUGGAAUAGGACAUCAUAGAGGGUGAGAAUCCCGUAUUUGACCUUUACUUUCAACUUUGUGAUACACUUUCAAAGAGUCGGAUUGUUUGGGAAUGCAGUCCAAAAUGGGUGGUAAAUUUCAUCUAAAGCUAAAUAUUGGCGAGAGACCGAUAGCGAACAAGUACCGUGAGGGAAAGAUGAAAAGAACUUUGAAAAGAGAGUUAAACAGUACGCGAAAUUGUCAAAAGGGAAGCGUUUGACACCAGUGUUGUUUUCUCGAAAAUCAAUUAAAGAACUGUUUAUGCUAAGCUGUUUAGACUUUAUCAGCUAUCUGUUUAGUUUUGAGCUCUUCUUUAAUGCACUUUUCAGUUAACAAGUCAACAUCAAUUUCUUUUGCUGUAAAAAAGCUUGAGGAAGGUGGCUUGAGAUUCGUCUUAAGUGUUUAUAGCCUCUUGCCUAUGCAGUCGGAGAGAUUGAGGUCUGCAGCGUAGAUCCUUCGGGGCUAAAUGCAUUUGUGCUAAGUUAUAGCAUUUUAUAGACAACUUGUUGACUAUGAUUUGUCUUGUAGCUUACUCGCUUAUGUUAUUUUACCUACGCUUAGGAUGUUGAACUACUGAGACAUAG